GCCGUCGUGGCUCAGUGGUAGAGCGAGUUCUUGGUAAGAACUAGGUCAUGGGUUCGAUUCCCAUCGACGGCU
rfam:Candidatus Gottesmanbacteria bacterium RBG_13_45_10 RBG_13_scaffold_2158, whole genome shotgun sequence.